rnacentral:rRNA from 1 species
UUCCGGUGAUGACGCUGGGAACGCGAGCGGCGGAUGGGUGAGUAACACGUGGGUAACCUGCCCUAAAGUCUGGGAUACCACUUGGAAACAGGUGCUAAUACCGGAUAACAACAAUAGCUGCAUGGCUAUUGCUUAAAAGGCGGCGAAAGCUGUCGCUAAAGGAUGGACCCGCGGUGCAUUAGCUAGUUGGUAAGGUAAUGGCUUACCAAGGCGACGAUGCAUAGCCGAGUUGAGAGACUGAUCGGCCACAUUGGGACUGAGACACGGCCCAAACUCCUACGGGAGGCAGCAGUAGGGAAUCUUCCACAAUGGGCGAAAGCCUGAUGGAGCAACGCCGCGUGAGUGAAGAAGGUUUUCGGAUCGUAAAGCUCUGUUGUUGGUGAAGAAGGAUAGAGGUAGUAACUGGCCCCUAUUUGACGGUAAUCAACCAGAAAGUCACGGCUAACUACGUGCCAGCAGCCGCGGUAAUACGUAGGUGGCAAGCGUUGUCCGGAUUUAUUGGGCGUAAAGCGAGCGCAGGCGGAAAGAUAAGUCUGAUGUGAAAGCCCCCGGCUUAACCGAGGAAUUGCAUCGGAAACUGUGUUUCUUGAGUGCAGAAGAGGAGAGUGGAACUCCAUGUGUAGCGGUGGAAUGCGUAGAUAUAUGGAAGAACACCAGUGGCGAAGGCGGCUCUCUGGUCUGUA